UACGUAGGGUGCAAGCGUUGUCCGGAAUUAUUGGGCGUAAAGAGCUCGUAGGCGGUUUGUUGCGUCGGCUGUGAAAUCCCGAGGCUCAACCUCGGGUCUGCAGUCGAUACGAGCAAACUAGAGUGUUGCAGGGGAGACUGGAAUUCCUGGUGAUAGCGGUGAAAUGCGUAGAUAUCGAGAGGAACACCUGCGGCGAAGGCGGGUUGCUGGGCUGAU
rnacentral:rRNA from 1 species